GGGUGUUUGUCUUAGAGCGGCUUAUAAGCUCUAAAAAUAAUCUGACUUGUUUAUUUAUAAUAUAUAUUUUUUUUGGCUUAUAAAAUGGGUUUAUAAGCCAAAAAUAAUAAGCUGAGGGGAGGGGGGACUAACUUUUCAUCUUGGUGCUUAUAAACACUAUGCUCAUAAGCUAGUUUAACCACACAAUUUACCAUAUUAUCUGCAUUUAAUUUAAAAUUCCACCAUAUACCUUAUUUAAUGCCAUUUUAGGUAAUUUUAAUAAUGAAUGUACUUAUUUUUACCAAACAUAUUAGCUAUUAAUCAAUUACUCAUAAGCACUUUAAUUAAACACGUAAUUACUUAAAAUUUUAAAUGCUUAGAAGGUUAAAUUAACUUAUAAGCUGAUUUUGAUAAGCUAAGCUAAAC
rnacentral:misc_RNA from 1 species